rnacentral:rRNA from 1 species
AGCGGCGGACGGGUGAGUAACGCGUGGGCAACCUGCCUUACACAGGGGGAUAACAGUUAGAAAUGACUGCUAAUACCGCAUAAGACCACAGUACUGCAUGGUACAGUGGUAAAAACUCCGGUGGUGUAAGAUGGGCCCGCGUCUGAUUAGGUAGUUGGCGGGGUAACGGCCCACCAAGCCGACGAUCAGUAGCCGACCUGAGAGGGUGACCGGCCACAUUGGGACUGAGACACGGCCCAGACUCCUACGGAAGGCAGCAG